CUGUACAGGAUCAAGUGAAAAAAAGAAUGUUGGUUUACUUCCUUAUCCACAUAAAGCUUCGUCUUGUUGCAUCUGGAAUAGUUCUGAAAUGUGUCCUUUUGGUUCAUCUGUAUGACGAGGGGGAUGUUUUCCUCCGGGAACACACGGCUCGAGCUGGCACGGCAGGACAGCAACAGGCACGGAUAUUCCCAUGAUAGAAAUCAGUCAACAUGUGCAGUCUGUCAGAUUAACAGGACCCACGUGGGCAAUCGCCGGUAGGGGAAGAGCUGCGAGCAAAUUAAAUGCACAUGAGGUCAAAGGGAUCAGUGGUUUCUCCACGAGUUAUGUUAAUGUUGAUUUAACAAAUUAGAGGACGUGACUCUGGGCUGAAGGUCGACUUUAUAUGCAGGAACACAUCAUGAUUCUUAUUAUUAUCUUAUUAUUAUUAUUAUUAGACCUUAUAGGAACAUAAAAGUUCCCAUUGACAUUUAUGCACUUUUACUACUAACUUGAUUUAAAGUUCUUUUAAGAAAUUCCUAGAUGUUAUUACACUCAGAAGGUCUUCUAAUCGCGAAUUUCUGAGGGGUUAAAAAAAAGUUUAGUGUAGGUUUUGCCAGCAGCUGUCAGCUGCAUAUUCUCAGUCCACAGCAUCACAUGGGAUCAUACUGCGUAGGAUGGAGCAGAUGGAUGCAGGCACUUUAGCUAAAGCCUCGUGGUGUCACAGCACACUAUACAUUUGGCCACAUGGAUUGGAUCAACUCAUCUCCGUGUCAUCCUGCUGAUCCUGCAUCCGAUGGGAGGGGGGAACAUGAACAGAAUAAUCACAGAAAAGGAAGUGCUGGAUUCCAGUCUCUUAACAUAAAGCUGCCAUUACACCUGUGGGCCAAAACUUAGCACUACGGCCUGCCAGGGGGCAGCCAGCCAGGCAGUCUUUUCAACACUCAUGGUGCUCAAGCUCUAAGGGUUCUUCAGCCAAGUUGUGCCCUUUGAGCGUCUCCCAUGCCGAGCAGUCUCACCCGAAGAUGAAUCACCAAGGCGAUGCCUGUGUCCCUGGCUUCUUCUCUUCGCUGACGUCGGCCAACAUUCUUCCGCUGAAGACGAAUGAAUGCUCUUCUCAGAGCACGGGCGCCAUAAACAUCAGUUUUCCAUCCUGGCAGGAUGUCUCAAAUGAGUUACCGGCCAGGUGGUAUAUCCUCCCAUGGGCAGCCUGCCCUCAGAGCGCCGUGAGGGACAGGUGAGAGGCUUGCCUCAAACCACCCGCUGGGAUGUUGGAAUGGAUGGACACACGUGUGAAUUACUCAGUUUGAUCUAGCUUUUUUUAUUAAGAAAUAGCUGAAAAAAAUUAAUGUUAAACUUACUGUACACAACUCCAGGUCAUAUCCCAGCACCAUGUUUGUAAGUAUAAUUAGUAUGAGUAUGUUUCAUAUUACGGCGAUAAAUUCACCUGCGUUCAAUCAUAUUGCCACAAACUAACUGGCAGAAAAUGAACCUGGGGACUGGUUGGUAAUCCAGCGUGGGAGCACUAGUUGGACUAUGGUAUGAUGAAGCUGACAUGCUUGAUGUAUACAUUAAGGUUAAAGAUAAGAGAAUACAUACACAAUGUUAACAAAGUAGGGGGAAAAGGGUGGUAAAUAGAGGUCCAAAGGUAAGUUGUGCCCCGGGGACGUCAAGCUGAUUGAUUCGGCCCUGUAUGGAUCCGUAGAAGGAUAUAUAAGAUAUUUAAUGAAAGCAGAGAGUUAUUAUAUGCAAGGCAAUGGAUGUGCAUGCUCCCUUAACUUCUUUACUAUACACCUACUGAAUGGGCCUAGAGAAGUUUUAAAAAGUGUUCCCAGAGACUUCAAAAGAAAUCUCCAACUCGUCUCUCGGUAUAUCAAAGUCAAAUUAAAAUAUUUUACCUGCGAGAUCCCUGCUGUGAUGUUGGGGCAGAAGGGUCAAAUGGAUGUUGAGUGUUUAACUGCCACUCUGAGGUUUUGUGAAAUAUUCAGAAAGGCCAGCGGAAGACGGAUGUCUCCUUAUGCCCCCCUCUGGUGGCGUGGCAGGCAGGACGAAAGCGAGUGAUAGAGAGGUUACAACUGGCAAGAAUUUUAAAACAUCCAUUGGCCCUCAGGGACUCUGCAGACUUACAGCUCAAUAUAGAUGCAUUGGAUAGCGAGGGGAAAAUAAGGGCAAGAGCGAGCGGAAGAGGAGAGGAGGUGGUGGAUAGGGGAGGAAAAAAAAAGGAAGGGAGGGGAGUGAGAGAGGGAGAGGAGACGAGAGGAACAACAGGGAGAGAGGAGAGUAUAGGGCAAAUAUAUUAGAAGCAACAAAACAAAUAUUCAUUGAUUUACAAAUUCAAUCUCCUUUCUCUCUCGACUCCCGAGCACAAUGGGUGUUUUAGCGUAACCCCGCUGAAACACUGCAGUCUUUGAGCUUCUCUCUGGUUUAAAUCAGCAUUCAAAUUAAGCAAAUGGUAAAAACAAAUAUGCAUGUAGAGAAGGGUAUAAAAACGGAGAAGCAGGCUGAAAGACGUUUUCUCAAGUUCAGCCCUACGUACUUUUUAUGAUGUGUCUGUGCGCCUGGUGUGACUGUGUUGAACUGUGAUCAGCAAAUGUUAAAUCAGGCAAUUAAAUAUGAUGGGACACAGGUUUGUCACUUUCUACAUUACAUCCCUCAUUGUGAAACGGAAGUCCUCACAAUCAGAGUCUGUCACUGCCCAACUGGAAAGCACUGCUGCCCUCCUGAGGAUUGUAGUGUAACAGCAUUAAAUUGUGACCGGUCAGGCAAGUGAAAUGGGAGGGAAAAAAAGAAUGGUACGGUAUUUUUGGCUGUUGUUUUGAUGGUUAUUUGUUUUUCUGCAUUUUUGAUUUGAAGCAAUAAUUCACCCACAACGCUGACUUCAAUUCUGCUCGCCUCUCAUUUGAAUGUUACCUGCCUUCAUGUAAAUGUAGCCUAUAUACAACCUUUACCUCUCUG